rnacentral:lncRNA from 1 species
GUAAUCCACUGGGGUACGCUUCCGCGCUGUGGAGAGUAUGUUCUUUUGCUCUUCACAGUAAAUCUUGCUAAUGCUCACUUUUUGGGUCCACACUACUUUUAUGAACUGUAACACUCACUGCGAAGGUCUUUAGCUUAACUCCUGAAGCCAGCAAGACCACGAAUCCUCUGGGAGGCAUGAACAACUCCUGACCCGCCACCUUAAAGAGCUGUAACACUCACUGUGAAGGUCUGCGGCUUCACUCCUGAAGUCAGCGAGACCACGAACGCACCAGAAGGAAGAAACUCCCCACACAUGUGAACAUCUGAAGGAACAAACUCCCGACACUCCAUCUUCAAGAACUGUAACACUCACCGUGAGGGUCUGCAGCUUCAUUCUUGAAGUCAGCAAGACCAAGAACCCACCAGAAGAAACCAAUUCCGGCCACAGUGUCUCCUUGGCUUACUGUGGAAAAACUCAAGGGGAGAUUAUUCUCUGAAAAAUCUUACCAGGAGGUGAAAAUCUGACAGCUCAAAAUGAAGCAAAAACCCAAGAUUAAAACAGACACCAUUUUGUGCCCACUCAGUCUUCUUUCCAGGGUCAUACAUGUGUUGUCUGCAUACCUCAUUCUUCCUGGAUACGGGACAAGAACUCAGUACCCACUAAAUGGCAAGACUAAAACAGCUGUAACACAAACAGUACUGAAACACACCCACCCGUUUGCCAUUUUGUGGGUGACGAAAAGGAGAGAAGUCCUGCAGCCUAUGUCUGGGAACCCAGACCUCAGGGCUCUUUAAGCCAGGACUGUGACAUGCUGUAACAACCUCUUUGAGGCUCUGCAGUUUCUGGGAUCUCCAAGAUUUCGGGCGCCACUGCAUUCCCCUUGUCCAGAUGUUGGUGCCCACAGCAGAAGUCACCUGCAGUACAUCUGGUACAGCUGCAGCCUUGCAUGGAGUUGGCACCUGUGCCAGCACCUGGAGCUGCCUGUCCAUCACAGCUGGCAUGCCUGGCUGUGCACAGUGGCCAGGCCCCACGCUUACCUGCUCACACACCCCUCACUGCUUCAUGCCUAGCUCACACUUGGCAGGUGUGGGAUCCAGGCUGGUAGCAGGAGCUGAGUGCAUCAUGCUAGGCUGAUUGGACAGAACAAGCCCAGUAGGCCUGAGCAAAACUUGGGCAAAGACGCCACCGGCCAUAGAGGUUUCUGGCUGGAAACCAGUGAC